rnacentral:rRNA from 1 species
ACGAUUCGAGGUAUUGAAAUAAGGUUUUAAUUGAAUGCUAAGAGAAUGGAUAAAUGAUUAAAAGCUUUAUUAUUUUAAAAAUUAAAAAUUAAAUUAUUAGUGAAGAUGCUAAUAUAAUAUUAUGGGACAAGAAGACCCUAUGAAUCUUUAUAAAAAUUUGAUUGGGGCGAUAGAAAAAGAUUAAGAAUCUUUAUUUUGAUCCAAUAUAUUGAUUAAAGGAAAAAGAUACUCUAGGGAUAACAGCGUAAUUAUUAUGGAUAGUUCAUAUUGAUAUAAUAGUUUGCGACCUCGAUGUUGAAUUAAUGGACCUAGUAUUUGAAGUUGAAUCUAAGGUAGAUUGUUCAUCUAUUUAAUCAUUACUUGAUCUGGUCCAGACCGGAUU